UUCAUUCUUUGUAUUCUUGGAGACAAAUCUUCCACUGCUUUGGUUGAAAAUAUAGAAAUAAGUGGCUUAUGAUCUGUUUCUAGCUCAACUUCUAGGCCUAUGAUAUAAUUUUUAAAUUUAUCCAUAGCCCAAGUAAGAGCUAAGGCAUCUUUUUCAAUUUGAGCAUAUUUACGCUGUUUCCGACAAUGAUCUAGAUGUAUAUGCAAUAAUCUGCCUUUGAUUCUUUCCAUUUAUUUGACUGAGGUAUGCUCCUAAACCAAAGGAAGAUGCAUCAGCCGUAAUGAAUGUUUUGUAGCUGGGAUUGUACAUAGCCAGAGUAGGGAAUGAUGAAAGAGCCUUUUUCAAGGUUUCAAAAGCUUUCACUUGAUUGUCUCCCCAGAACCAAUCAUUUUUUUGGCUCAGCAAUGAAUAUAAGGGAUGAGCUCUUUCUGCCAAAGAUGGAAUAAAUCUAGAGAGAUAAUUUAUCAUUCCAAGGAAUCUUUUCAGUUCAGUAACAUUUUGAGGAGAUGGCAUUUCAAUAAUUGCCCUUGUUGACUUUGCUUAGUAUUAUUAAUGAAACUGAUUCCAAUAAUUAUUAAUUAAACAUUAUAUUUAUUGAUUUACAAGAGAGAGAUAUAAUAUAAAAGGGAAACUUAUAUUGAAACAAAGGAACUCUUUUUUCUUGUUUUUUAGCGCCUAUUUACCCGUGAGCUUACACACACUCUGUGGUAACAAAUAAUUAAAAUAUGUACAACAGCCCUUAUCUUUUUCUCUUCUGGCUUUAGUCCAUCAGGUCCAAUUUGGUGUCCCAAAAACUUUAAUUUAGGAGAAGAGAAUACACAUUUCUCUUUAUUAAGUGUCAAUCCUGUUUCCUUCAGUUUGCUAAGGACUUGUUUCAGUCUUCCAUCAUGUUCCUGCUGAUUGGAUCCCCAAACUAUGAUAUCAUCUAGAUGACACAUUGAGCCUUCGAUAUCUCCUAAAACCUCACUCAUUCUUUUUUGGAAAUGCUCGGGUGCGCUAGUAAUUCCAAAUGGAAGUCGACAAAAUCUAUACCGUCCAAAAGGUGUCAAGAAUUUUGUAAAGUCUUUUGACUUAUCAUCCAAAGGUAUUUGCCAAAAUCCUGAAUUAGCAUCUAAUUUUGAGAACACUUUACCAUUGCUUAACUGGCUCAAAGGUGAGGUCAACGCAUAUUCGAAUUUCGUUAUUCUUUUUAGGCACAAUCACCAUUGGUGAUAACCAAUCAGUUGCAUGAUCAACUUUCUCAAUUACUCCUUGCUGCUCCAUUUCUUUGAGCUUCUGUUUUGUUUUAUUCAUUCAAAUAGUGGUUACAACGUCAAAAUGAACGGUAAGCCUAUUAACAAAUGUUUAUAUAUUUAGUCUAAAUUAAUUCAAAGGUAUUAUAAAAUUAACAUAAUUUUGAAAUGUUUAAUAACAUUGCGCCACCUGAAAAAUUCAAUUUCAAAUGUCCAGAAGAAUGGAUUACGUGGGCAAGAUGUUUUGAACGUUAUAGGAUCGCAACAGGCUUAAAUGCCAAAGAUGAAAGCGAGCAGGUAAAUAUGCUUAUAUAUUUAUUGGGCGAUGAAGCUGAUGACAUUUACCUGUCUUUUAGGCUCUCAACUGCUGAUUCAGCAAAAUGUGGUUUUAGACAAAUUUUGUCAGUAUUUUAUUGAAAGAAGAAACAUUAUUUUUGAUAUAGCCCAACUCAAUAACAAAUCCCAUAGAAUUGGGACCCAAUUUCUAAUAAAAUUUCCUGUAGGGUGUUCUUUUGAAUCUUUUUGGAUAUGAAUUUUGAGAAGCAGAUAUUUUUCUCCUUAGGUGCAAGGGAAGAAGGUUUGAUUCAAGUUCAACAAUGUGAUUUGGACAAGAUACUCGAAGCCCGCUGAUGAUUUUUUAAAACUUUUUUUAUGGCCUGGCUAUCCCUUUUCAGCAGCAGUGAGCUGGGCAAGGAAAGCGGGGUGCCACAUGUGAUCAAAGGCCGACUUGAUGUAGAGACUGAUAAGGAGGCCGCAUUGGUGGGAACGUAUAGACUCCGAAACUUUAGCUUUGAGAAGGACGAGGAUGUCCAUAGCACUUCUCCCAUUCCUGAAUCCAAAUUGAUUGGGGUGGAAGAGACCGUUGGACUCAAAGUGGUGCGAGAGUCUAAGGAGAGCAUGCUCUCGAGGGUUUUACCCAGGAUAGGGAGAAGUACGAUCGGACAGGCCAGCGAACUCCUCCAACGGGUUAGGUCCGGGGUGUCCUCCACAUGUAUAGACUGUGGAGGCGGAGGUGUGGCCAUGGCCGGUGACGAUUCCAUGUCCUGGGGAGCGGGUGGUGUUGGCUCAGCAGGCCGAGGCGCAGGCAGUGGAGGUGUAGGCACUGCGGCUGGUGUUGUCCUCAGCUCAGCCUUGACCUGUCCGAGGACUUUAUAGAUAUUGCUGCCUGCUCCGGGCCUCAGAUCCAAGAUUUGUUUGAUCAGGCCGGCGAGAGCAUCGCCCUGCGGAGGUGACAGGAGGGGUCCAUGCUUCUGCGCCUUGGUCCUCGAGGAGAGGAGGUCUAGGACCUCCUCCCGCCCAAGACCAAGGGCGUCCGUCCCAGCAAAGGGUAUAAAUAACAUGUACAUAAAAGAACAAAGCUUAAUUCUAAGUCCUAAUAUUUUUUUUUACAAAAAAAGCAUCCAAAUAUUGCAAAAAUACGGCAUUUUUGCAGCCCCCCUGACAAAAAUUCACUAAAAGAGCUAAAUAUUCUAAAAAAUGUUUUGGUAUAUGUAUUGCUAAAUGUGUAACAAACAUGUAUAUAAAAAAGCAAGGGAGAAGUGGAGCCAUUUUGCCAUUUUCAAAAUUUGAUUGUGAAAUAAUAAAUAAAUGAGUAAAUAAGGACAAAAAUAAAGAAAAAAUAAUUAAGUAAAGAAAAGACAUAAUAAAAUAUUUUAAAUAACAAAUUAUAUAUAAAGAAUAUCUUUUUUCAAUUAAUUAAUUCUAUGUAUAUAGCAAGGGCAGUCUAUACUGAAAGCAUUAUGUUGUGUGUUCAAUUUAAGUGUAGGGUUUUUACUAUUAGCUUUUUUACAGUUUAUACAAUUUUCUGUUUUUGUACAUGAUUUAGAAAUGUGGCCCUUGCUACCACAUUUUGCACAAGUGUUUUCUGAUUCUUUACAGUUUUUAGAUUUAUGAAAAUCAAGACAUUUAGUGCAUCUAUUAACAAGAAAAAUUUCCGUCCAUUUGAUAACUCUCCAUCCAUAUCUAAAUCUGUGUAAAUUAUUUUCAAUUGUUGAUCUAUUUUUCUAUUGUGAAAAUGUGUUUGAAUCAAUAUUUAUAAGCCAAUCAUAUUUGUUAAAUUUAUUUUUAUAUACACUAAAGGGUUUUAAAUCAGAAUUAGUUACAUUCAAACUUUCUUUGAAAUAAUCUAUUAUCUGUUCUUUGCCAAAAUCUUCUUCAACAUUUAAUAUUUUAAUAGUAGGAGACCUACCUUUGGGGACUUUUGGAGUUAGCUUAGACCUAAGAUGUUCAUUUUCAUUUAUGAAUUUUACUAUUGUGUUUGGGGGUCGGUGGAAGGCUGGGUAAACUGUUUGGUUUUCGACCACUAGGACCCGGGUUUGAUUCCCGCAUUGGGCACUUUUUUUCUGUUAAAAAAAAAAUAAAAAAAAAUGCUCCAAUGGCCCCCGAUUCUUGCAAAAGUCCAACCCCACCAGCGAGUGCAAGUAACCAAACGGGGCUCUGGCAUUUGUAAGUGCAAAGUCGAACUGCUUUUCACAUGUGUAGACAUGUGGUGCGCUUACAGUAAAAGCAGUCGCUAACUACCCACCAUGAUAAUCAUGGCCUGUACCACGUGUACUAGGGAUAAGCAAAAAAAAAAAACUAUUGUGUUUACAUUUUCCAUUGUGGGAACUUCUAUGGUGCAUCCCUUUUUGUUUGGAAUAGCAUUUGCUCUAAUUAUUUUUAGAUUAGACAAAGAAAUAUUUUCUUUAAGGAAUUGCACGAUGUUGGUAUUUUCUGGGAGUUUUGAUUCAAUUACUAUUUUUCCAAUUAGAUUAGGGGAACUUUUUGGCUGGGCUAUGGAGGUUGGUGCAGUUGGUAGGUUAGAGGCCAAAACUGCACUGUAACUUUUCUCACUUUUUUCCAUUAAUAUUUUCAAUUUUUCAUCGAUAAGAGCAUUAUUUUCACUAAUUAAGUCUUGAGUAGAUUUUUUUAAAUCAUCAAUUUUUUCUUCAAAGUUUUUUUGAAUAUUUUCAAUAAUAUUUUCUUGAUUCUUUAAUAAAUCAUCCAAUUUAGUAUUAAAAGCCAUAUUUUCUACAUUUUCUGGUAAAACUUUUAUAAAUUCAUUCAUAUCUGUUUGAAUUAAAUUUAAAAUCUUUUUUUGAGCAUCCAUUUUCGGAUUUUUGGCAUUUAAGAAUGUGGAAAUAUUUCCCAUAAGUGUUUCCAGCAUAGGAAACAUUUCUCUACCCAAAGAAUUUAUUUCCAUUUUUAAAUUAAAAAGUAUACCAAAAAAAUGGCACACAAAAUAAAAUCUCGAUGAACGCAUCGAGGUCGUUUCUUGUUGCGUUCCGUGUUGAUAGUGUGGAGGAUUUCCUGCUUGAUGAUGUUGAGGAAGCGGAGGACUCCUCGAUGGCAGUCAUCUCGAUGUCCUGUGCAGAGGGCCGAGACUUUGCUGAUUGAGGGCUUACGGAACCCCUAGGUGCCCGCAAGGGCGGAGCAGGUGUCACAGGUGGAGGGGCAGGUGGCGUCUCCUCCGCAGGUGAGGCCGGGGGCGCUGUUGGUGAUGGCCGGGGUGCGCCUGCUGGUUGGAUCGCAGCUCGGGCCGCGGGCGAAGCGCCGGAGAUCUCCAAGGGAGGCGCCGGUGCUGGAUGCUGAGACGUUGGCCUCUGAGGCGGUGCAGGGGCGGUCGAUGGUGGGACGCCGGCAGGGGAGGCUGGUGGUGCCGAACUGGUGGUGUUAACCCGCCCUGCCAGCAGGGGGCAGUUGGCCCUGCGGUGCCCCUGGCCGUGGCAUCUGGAACACUUGAUGCCGGUGGACAGAUAAGCGGGCCAAGCCUCGCCUUUGAUGGUGAUGUCGAGGCGGGUGGGGAGCCUCUCGGUGGUCACUCCUUCGUGGAAGACGAUGAACGCCUCAUGGCGGCUGUCGGUGUAGGUGUAUGGGCCGGCCUUCAUCAUUUUGGGCGUGAUGGAUGUAGUGCGCCCAUAGGGCCUAAGGGCGUUGAUGAUGGCUGCGUCCUCCACGAAGAAGGGGAGGUUGCCCACCGUUAUCCUCUCCGCUCUUUUGCGGAAAGGGAAAGCCCUGAGGAGAGUGCCCUCAACCUCAAGGCCGUUGUUUAUGAGGCGCUCGGCGAGGCCUCUGUUGGCCAGCCCCAGGAGUUGGUGGCCGUUUACCUUGGAGACUUGACGACUCCGGCGGUUCCUCCAAGUAGCCUGUCCAGCGCCCCCAGGUAAUGGAAGGGCUGCAGUUCGGGGCCGUGUUCCAGGUAGACGCAGUGCUCCUCAGCAGAGGACGUUUGUCGCGCCCGGGCCUCCGCGAUGUGGGCCCUGGUUGUCGGGAUCUCCUGUGCCCGCGGCACCGAACGCGCUGAUGAUUGCGUUCGGCGACUGCUCCUGGCACCUCCGAUGUUGGAGGAUGGUGCAGCGGCUGUAGGCGAAUUCGAUGAUUUGCGGCGCCUCUUCUUGGUCUUCACGACAGUAAAGUCAUUGUCUGUCCCGGGGUUCAUGUCUUCGUCACAAUCUGCCCAGUUUCUAAUAGCAAGGGCAGCGCUAUUGGAUGACGAAGUUGCCGCUAAGCCGGACGUGAUGUCGACGCGCGCGGCGGCCAGAUUUACAUUUCCGCCGUCAGCCGGCAGAUAUACAUACUCUUGAGUAUUAGAGUUUUCUUUAUAGAUUUCUCUAUAAAGUUUGUUUUUCGCUGAAUUCUCGCUACCGGUUGGAGGUGGGAUGCUGGGCCUUCCAGGCCUUUGUCCAGCAGAUCCUGGGCUCCUUGGCGAUGCCGAAUUUGGCAUGUUUAAGGAUGUAUUCUACAGCAGUCAGUUGGCUGUCAGAAUUGGUCCUCCGGGACUCAUGCCUCCCCUGCCACAGCAUUCUCACAUACAGGUGAGCUCCUCUUCAAUCAUUAACAUUGUUCCCCCCUACAGCAGACAUCCUUUCAUUCCAUUUACAUUUAUUUAGACCACCAGCUAGCUAUAUAAAACCAAUUACAAUAUAUUUGUCUUCCGCAUCCUCAACAUAUAUAUAUAUAUAUAUAACAAUAAAUAGUUGUUUAGUUUUAUGGUUUAGUUUUGUAUUAAAAUUAUCUUUAUUAUUUUGAGUAUUUAAAUUCAAAUUAUAAAAUUUGUAAAUUGUUAUUAUUUAGUAGAGAGAGAGAGAGAGAAUAAAAAAUCCUUUACUUCUAACACAUCAUUCAGUUAAUUAUAUAUUUAUAAUUAAUAACAAUAAAAUUUAACAACGUAACGUCUUUUGCAUCGGCUUUUACACGUCAUUUAGACAUACUCUAACCUAUAUAUAGAAUAAUAGAAGUGAGAAUAGUUAGUGAAAAGAGAGAAAGACAGAACCAUGCACUUUUAGUCAAACUAAUAAUAAGAAAGAGAAAAGUUUUGUAAAGAAGGUAGAUAAGAUAUAUAUAUAUAUAUAUAUAUAUAUAUACUAGUAGAAAAGCCCGUCCAAGGACGGGAUCGGCUAGAGCAGGUGGAUUGAGAGGUUUAAAUCGGUUCAAGUUUGACUUUUCCUUUGGAACAGCAUUAAUGAAAAGUUUUACUGUAUGUCGUUUGUUCCAAUUCGAAAUACUUUGCUCUACAUUUUGGGCAAACUUGAUCAAGUUGGCCACAAAAGUGCAGGGGAAUUUGAUCUUCCUCGAAACAUGUCCCUGUUGGCAAAGGUAGAUUAUCUCCCUGUCGAAUUCUUUGCAUCCUCAGCCUACUGUUUUCCCUUUGAAAUAUGGUGUCAGGGAGUCGCUCAAGGACUGGCUUCAGCUGCUCAAGAGCCAAGGAUAUUUUCUUCGGUGAUUCUUCCUCCCGAGAGCUUUCCUCCUGCGCUCUGGGAACAGGAGGGAGGGGCAAGGUAGGAACAGCUAAUUUAGUUUCGCUAACUUUGCUGGAGAAGGACAUUUUUCCCGCUGGUGAAUUUGCGACGCUUGUAGCAGGCGUUGGUUGGACGGGAGUGGACACCUCGGGUGCCGAAAUAUUUUUGGAGGGGGUCUCCUGAGGCUUGCCAAGUGCAGCUGGGGGAGUCACGGUAAGUGCUGCAGAGGAUGACGAUUGAGUGGUAGGAGGAAGGUGCGCUAGGUCCUGCCUGGGUGUUUGUUGAUGAGUGGGACGUUCCUCCCUGUCUCUCCUGGGGCAGCUGGCUAGCCGAUGUCCCUGGCGAUGGCACAUGCUGCAUUUCACGCUUAGAGGGGGAGAGGGUGGGACAUAGUUAGGUUAGGUGGGGUUCUGGGUGAAUCAUGGCAUACAGUGGUCACAAAGUGUCCUUGUUAGCGUCCAUGACUUCAUCUAGCUCCAUGAAGUUACAGAGGGUGUCCGCGAGGUUCUUCACCUCCCCUACCAGGCACUUGAUCAGCUCUGUCCGCUGCUCAAUGAAGCAGACAAGGUGCAAGAUUUGAGGAAGGGCUGGCCGAGAGAGUGCAGGAUCUGGUAGUGGCGGGAGAGGACCAUGUUAUUCUCCUCCACCAGAGCCAUGAUGUCCACCGAGGGUUGAAAAGGCUUGGAGGCCUUCUUCUUGGAGGGAUCCAUGAUGGGAGAGCAGAAAGGAAGAGAUGUUUCCAUAGCAAGUGCUAUCUGGAAACUGAUCUCUGAGAAACUGAUGAGGUGAUCUGAUUAUACAAGGUCAUGGAGACUGAAAAUUCAUGGAUUAAAUUUAUAAUCUUGGUAGGGUUGUAAUAUAAGUCCUGUCUUGAGGCUCCCAUACAUUCCAAGAGGUGGUCCUGCAGAUGGUGCAUUGUGGGAAGACACCAACCUGGAAAAGGAGCGAUUCUUUCUAUUCCGGGUUAAUUGGACUUUUAAAGCAAGGUCUUCUAACCCCUAUGGCAGAAUGCCACUUCCAGUGGCAAGGGACCCUAGGAUCUGGCAGCAAAGAUGUCUUGCAGGGGUGGAGGAAACAUAGAGAUGGCAGGGGAACAGCGUCUGGUAGCAGUUAGUGGCAGGAGUCUUGGCUGGGGAGGAAAUCCAGUAGGUGAGGACAAUGAAGGCAGCAGGUCCUGGAAGCCUAGAAUUUGAGAGCCCUAGACCUCAGGAAAGAGCAGCCAGAGGCUCUCGCCUCAUGUUUGUCCGGAAGGCCCUUGGCACAGCAGUUGGCACACUUGGUGGUGUGCUGGUUGGCUAGGGAUGGACAGGCACGGCCCUCGUGACCUUCUUCACCGCAGUGGAAGCACUUUGGAGCCCUGGAGCAUUGUCCGGAGUUGUGACCAAAAUAACAAUAUUGUCAUCAAAGUUCUGUUUUAGAUUAUUGAGUUUGAAAGCCAAAUUUCCUUAAUUACUUAUGUUGGCCUCAAGGUCUACAUUUGUAUCAAAUGUUGAGGACAAUGGCACUUCCAAUAUUACAAUUCUUAUAUGUAACAUUGUGAUUUAUCCAUGGUCCAGGGGACAAUUUGGUGGGGGAUGUUUUUUCUUUUUUACUUUGAAAAAUCUUCUUCAACGUAUUUCCAAGAAAUUCUGCAGCUUUUUUGACGACUACUUUAGCUGCAGCUUUUGCGGCGGAUCCUCCCACUUCUGCUGCCAAGGCCUGCUUUGGAGGAGCAAAGGCAAAACAGCCAAAACCACCGCUUCUUCCAUUGAAGGGUGGACCGCCUCCCUUUUUCUUACCUAUUUUGAGUUUUUGAAGAAAGAGUUUGUUUUCACACGCAUAUUUAAUAAAAAAAAAAAAACAGAAAGAGCAAAAGACAAUUUCAUGCCUGAUGUGUUUAUUGGGUGAUGGGUUCUGGGUCUUUUUCUCAGUUGAAGGUUGAGGCUGUUGGUGGUGGUUAUUGUGAUGGGGUUCACAGGCUCAUCUAUUGUCUGGUCAUCUCCGGGCUAUCUGUCGAGCCUCACAGGUCUGUCUCCAUCACUGAGGGGCUCUUGGCAUCUCACUGAGGGACUCUUUUCAUCGGGGUGUAGCAGGUCACAUGGGGUGUGUAGACCAUAGGAAGGGCAGGGAGGUCUAUAGGCCUUUUUUUUUAAAACAAUUUUUCCAGCCCCUUUCCAGCUCCCACACCAGGCUUGGUGUAGUCCCUCACACACACUUCCUGGUCAGUGGUGAGCUCCUGUAGUAUGCCAUCUCCUUGAAGAUGUCCAUGGGGUUCUGGACCUGGGGUAAGACAAUGACAAUGAAAACGUCUUUAUUGACAUCUUAGUCAAUAGUACACUCCGGAGAGUUAAGAAAGACUAUUUACAAAUUCCUCAGAGAGAGUCAGGAUGACAAGGCGGCCCUGAGCCCGGAUAUUUUCUCGCAAAGAGAAGGAUCCAUGUUUUUUAAUUUGUGUUCACUCUAUUUCAAUUUAUUUAUUUUACAUGGGAAUGCAGCAAAGCGUAGCUUAAUAGUUAGCUGUGCGGCUUCGUGUUUCCUCAUCACACACUAUUUAUUUAUUUGGUGUUUAUAAUCUUUAAUCCAAAUUGUGCCUUAUCGUUAGAUUUGGUCUUAAUAUCUUGUGUUUAAUAAUCCAAAUUGUGCCACACACUAUUUAUUUAUUUGGUACCUUGUGUUUAUAAUAUAUAAUCCAAAUUGUGCAUACAAACAUGACUCAGCUUGUUUCUCCUGUUGGUGGUCUCUCUUUGAAGACUGCUAUUUAAAAAAUCUCUGGCGGCGAAGAUGGGAGGUCAGAUGACCUAAUGUACAUGUAUAGUUUAGAGCGGGACGUUUCGCAAGAGUCACAUCCACGGUAAGUCUUUUUUUGGUUUUUAUUUUGACUUUCGUAGCUUAACCCGUCUCUCCAAGAGUCUUUUUAAAGGUCUAUUAGAGAUUUUUUAAUAGCAAUUAGAAUCUUCAAUGAGACCAACGUUUUUAAGUAUUUAAAUAUAUUAAAUUCAACAUUUUAAUUACUGUACCAACAUAUAUUGUCGCGGCCGUGUUUCCUGGCCUCUGUCAUGGAGGUACAAUUUGGAAUAUAGAUUAGAAACAGAAGGUAACAAAUAAAUAAAUAGUGUGUGGCACAAUUUGGAUUAUAGAUUAAUAAACACAAGGUAAUAAGACCUAAUGAUAAGACAUAAUUUGGAUUAUUGAUUAGAAAGAGAAGGUAAUAAGAACAAACCUGGAUGGUUUAUGGCUAAUUACUCUUUAGCCUUUUAUAUUUCGUUGCAUUGAUGUUUUUUGAGGCGUCAACCAAUCCCUAUAAAAAUGAAAUGCAAAAUCGAUGUUUGUUAUCGCAUGUAGGUAUGUGCUAUUUAAAAAAAAAAAAAAAAAAACCAAAAUUCCUUAGUUUAAGCCUUUUACCGCUUAAUAAAAUUGUGCCUUAUCGUUAGAUUUGGUCUUAAUAUCUUGUGUAUCCAAAUUGUGCCACACACUAUUUAUUUAUUUGUUACCUUGUGUUUAUAAUAUAUAAUCCAAAUUGUGCCUACAAACAUGACUCAGCUUGUUUCUCCUGUUGGUGGUCUCUAUUUGAAGACUGCUAUUAAAAAAAAAAAAAAAAAAAAAAAUUCCUUAGUUCAAGCCUUUUACCGCUUGGCGGCGCACUGGUCGCGACGGUAAAUGAAUUUGAUUGGUUAAUAAUUUUACACGUUAAUUUGUAAUUUUGUUGUUUUGUACCCGAUUAAUGUGUCUUUGAAGUUGGCGUUUUUGGUUUAACAUUUAAGCUAAAACCACAAAAAUUGCAUUUCGAAAAACUUUCUUUUCCUUUUUAGAAGGUAUCAUUUAGUAAUAUUUUUCGUUGUCUGUGGAUGGGGAAUUUAGGAUGGUUUCUUCGUAAAAUUCGGCGGUAGUUUCUUUAAUCUCCGAAAGGGGUUCUUCCAUUGCCCCUAAUAACAUAAUAUCGUUGUCUGUGGAUGGGGAAUUUAGGAUGAUUUCUUCGUAAAAUUCGGCGGGAGUUUCUUUAAUCUCCGAAAGGGGUUCUUCCAUUGCCCCUAAUAACAUAAUAUCGUUGUCUGUGGAUUGGGAAUUUAGGAUGAUUUCUUCGUAAAAUUCGGCGGGAGUUUCUUCAAUCUCCGAAAGGGGUUCUUCCAUUGCUGCUAAUAACAUAAUAUCGUUGUCUGUGGAUGGGGAAUUUAGGAUGGUUUCUUCGUGAAAUUCGGCGGGAGUUUCUUCAUUCUCCGAAAAGGGUUCUUCCAUUGCCGCUAAUAACAUAAUAUCGUUGUCUGUGGAUGGGGAAUUUAGGAUGGUUUCUUCGUAAAAUUCGGCGGGAGUUUCUUCAAUCUCCGAAAGGGGUUCUUCCAUUGCCGCUAAUAACAUAAUAUCGUUGUCUGUGGAUGGUGAAUGUAGGAUGAUUUCUUCGCAAAAUUCGGCGGGAGUUUCUUCAUUCUCAGAAAAGAGUUCUUCCAUUGCCGCUAAUAACAUAAUAUCGUUGUCUGUGGAUGGUGAAUGUAGGAUGAUUUCUUCGCAAAAUUCGGCGGGAGUUUCUUCAUUCUCCGAAAAGGGUUCUUCCAUUGCCGCUAAUAACAUAAUAUCGUUGUCUGCGGAUGGGGAAUGUAGGAUGAUUUCUUCGUAAAAUUCGGCGGGAGUUUCUUCAAUCUCCGAAAGGGGUUCUUCCAUUGCCGCUAAUAACAUAAUAUCGUUGUCUGUGGAUGGGGAAUUUAGGAUGGUUUCUUCGUAAAAUUCGGCGGGAGUUUCUUCAUUCUCCGAAAAGGGUUCUUCCAUUGCCGCUAAUAACAUAAUAUCGUUGUCUGUGGAUGGGGAAUGUAGGAUGAUUUCUUCGUAAAAUUCGGCGGGAGUUUCUUCAAUCUCCGAAAGGGGUUCUUCCAUUGCCGCUAAUAACAUAAUAUAGUUGUCCGUUGUUUGUGAAUUUAGGAUGAUUUCUUCGUAAAAUUCGGCGGGAGUUUCUUCAAUCUCCGAAAGGGGUUCUUCCAUUGCCGCUAAUAACAUAAUAUCGUUGUCUGUGGAUGGUGAAUGUAGGAUGAUUUCUUCGCAAAAUUCGGCGGGAGUUUCUUCAAUCUCCGAAAGGGGUUCUUCCAUUGCCGCUAAUAACAUAAUAUCGUUGUCCGUUGUUUGGGAAUUUAGGAUGAUUUCUUCGUAAAAUUCGGCGGGAGUUUCUUCAAUCUCCGAAAGGGGUUCUUCCAUUGCCGCUAAUAACAUAAUAUCGUUGUCUGUGGAUGGGGAAUUUAGGAUGGUUUCUUCGUAAAAUUCGGCGGUAGUUUCUUUAAUCUCCGAAAGGGGUUCUUCCAUUGCCGCUAAUAACAUAAUAUCGUUGUCUGUGGAUGGGGAAUUUAGGAUGAUUUCUUCGUAAAAUUCGGCGGGAGUUUCUUUAAUCUCCGAAAGGGGUUCUUCCAUUGCCCCUAAUAACAUAAUAUCGUUGUCUGUGGAUUGGGAAUUUAGGAUGAUUUCUUCGUAAAAUUCGGCGGGAGUUUCUUCAAUCUCCGAAAGGGGUUCUUCCAUUGCCGCUAAUAACAUAAUAUCGUUGUCUGUGGAUGGUGAAUGUAGGAUGAUUUCUUCGCAAAAAUCGGCGGGAGUUUCUUCAUUCUCCGAAAAGGGUUCUUCCAUUGCCGCUAAUAACAUAAUAUCGUUGUCUGUGGAUGGGGAAUGUAGGAUGAUUUCUUCGUAAAAUUCGGCUGGAGUUUCUUCAAUCUCCGAAAGGGGUUCUUCAAUUGCCGCUAAUAACAUAAUAUAGUUGUCCAUUGUUUGUGAAUUUAGGAUGAUUUCUUCGUAAAAUUCGGCGGGAGUUUCUUCAAUCUCCGAAAGGGGUUCUUCCAUUGCCGCUAAUAACAUAAUAUCGUUGUCUGUGGAUGGUGAAUGUAGGAUGAUUUCUUCGCAAAAUUCGGCGGGAGUUUCUUCAAUCUCCGAAAGGGGUUCUUCCAUUGCCGCUAAUAACAUAAUAUCGUUGUCCGUUGUUUGGGAAUUUAGGAUGAUUUCUUCGUA